GACAACCUGAAAAGGAAACCACAUGGAUCUCUUCAAAGUGCUAAUUAAAACCGACAAAGAAGAAUACAGGCUGAAGACUGGGUAUGCUAAUGUGAAAUGGUAAAGCUUUCAGGGCAAAAGAAAUUGAGCAGAUAAUGUAACUACUGAAAGAACCUGAGACCUGCACUUGCUCUGCAUUAUAAUGUCUGCCUGAACUGAAGGAAGGCGGUGAGGAGUUCUGCAUGGAUGUUCUAUGUACCUGCUGGUACCUGCCCUGAAACUGCCCGGUAUGGGUCAAAGGGAAUGAACAGAAAACGAAGAGAAAUAAAGGUCCUUCAGGGAGCAGGAAGAGAACUAGUUUUUAGAAAACACCUCUUUACAUUUUGUGAGGUAUGCAAUCCCAGGCCAAAUCUUAAAUCACACAAAUACCAACCUGAAAAAACAGUAUAAAAUAUUGUCCAAAGAGAAAAAGAAGGUGAGCAAGCAGCAACGGUUUGCAGAUAAGUAUGGAGAAAAACUAGGCACAUAAACAGAGCUUUCAGCAGGACUGGAGAGCUAAGAUGGGCUCAACUGCAUGUGCUUGAGGCAGCUGGAUAUCUAAUCUCGGAGAAACACAGGCAGGAUGCAGAUGAACAGACCGGGCAUGUGUUUAACACAUUUCCUCUGCUUGCUCUGUGUCUGUGGGUAAAUGAGUAACACUUCCACCUGACAGAAGCUGGUGUGAUCUGCUUUAACCAGCUGCUGGUCGCAGACGUACAGAGAGGAGAGAGUCAUGCGAACAUGAGGCAUAGCUGGCUGAGGCACAGCUGGGCUCUCCACACUCCUGUGGAGGCAAUGGAGAAAGCACCCUGCAGGGACCUGUGGGUGCCCCGGCUGCAGGCUGCAUGCCUGGCAAAUUAUGGGUGGGUAUCAGGGGUAUGGCACAGGGGAGCCUGGGGACCCCGGCUAGCCCAGCGGGAACCACCAACCUUCUGCAGGGGAAAUGUCUGUGCAGGUCUGCCUUUGAGAAAGGUGGCAUACAAAAAGAAAGUAUGAGAGAAAUCGGCCCAUGCUUUCAAGAGAAGGCCCUUCAUGUUUAGUUUCAUCUAAGAAAGUGAUCUUAGGACAAGGCGAAGACAAGCUCUCUAAAGAAACACAGUUUCAUUUUUCAAAGCUAAACACUGUGAAUGUAUAUACCAGAACAAAGCUAAGAAUUUAGAAAAGCGAGUAUUUGACAUUUAGGGGAAGCCUGCACAACAUUAAUUAUUUCACCUAGUGCUUAUAAAUUAUGAUACAUUUUUAUGAUAUAUUGUUUUUUACAUCCUUCCAGUUCAGCACAAGGUUCUGAUGCCACUGACAGCUUUUCAGUGUUUUGUUUUCAUCUUGUUUUUCAGCAGCUCACCAAAUGCUGUUUACCACACACUACCUAUAACCUCCUUGAAAGUUAGAAUUAGUGGUGUCUUUAUAGGCUUUUCUGCACUUCCCCCCACUCUAGUAUCUGAAUAUUUCGUAGACCUGAAUGCAUUUCUGCAACAUCCAGGUGAGAUAAGAGGGAACUGUUAUUUCAUGUUUAAAAUUGAGAACCAAGACACAGUAAUUAAUUUCCAAGGAGGAUUUAGGAUGUAAUUUCUAGCAUCUACUUUUAAAAUACCCUGCCAUUUUGUUCCUGAGCAAAGAGCCUGGCUAGCUAGUCAAGGAAGAAUGCUGACACGAGGAAUGUAGAUUCAGCACUGUUUUUCCAGAAGUGGGAGGCCUCCAUUCCGCUCAAGAUUCACAGCCAUGAAUCUCUGGGAUUAAAUGAUAGAGCGCAGGAACGCUGGAGUUGGUGCCAUUCUCCUUGUGCUCUGUCCAGAGGUGAUACCUGUUGUCUGGAUUACAGAAAACAGAUUCAAAUCCUUCUUCUGCCUCACUAGAUUUAAUUUGAUCAACCCUAAUUGGAUCUGACAGGACUGAAAUGGAAAAAAAAAAAGAAAAAAGCAUAUCAUGAAACCACUAGGUAUUGUAAUGCUUGUAAAAUUUUUGGAGAAGGGGUUUCGGAGAAUGUCUCUUCUCUCCUCACUUACCUGCUGCUCUCCCACUGCUCUGUUCUUGCUGUGAAGCUGGGACCUGCUCUGUGGAUUUUACAGAACCAGGUUUGCUAUGAACCUCUGCUCUCCUUCAUCUCCUCCAAGUCAUGGUAUUUUCAAACUGAGCAGAGACCCCUUCUAGCAUCCUGACUGGUUCCCUGCACUGUGGGUUCAGGGGAAGAGAGCCAGGUGCUGUGACUGUGCAGGGAACACUCCCUUCUUUUCCAGGGUGGGAUAAGUCUGGAGAAAUGACGGGUUGGGGUCGGGAGCCCUGCAGGUUUGGACAGUGCUGCGCAGUGCUGGUCUGAGACCCCAAAGCAGGGCAUCAGCCUAGCACUGCUGACAUUUCAAUGCCACAGCAGUACUGAUGUGCAAUAAAGCCUAUCAUCAACGAACACUUAUACUAUGGGUAUUGGUAUAUCGUCCAUCAUUAAUGUGAACUCCACAUCUUCUACCUCAAAGUAUCUCCUGCUUUAAAUCAUGGGAUUUAAGGGAUUCUUGCCUGGAGAGCUCUUAUGAAGUUCACUUUGUAUAAAUACCCCUUCACCAGACCAGGGAUUAAUACCUACCUUUCCUGUCUCCCUGAUGCUCAGCCUUCCUAGCCAACACCUCUCCCUGUUUUAAGAAGUUUUGAAUCAGAGUUGAGCCUAUUUUGUGAAUGCAGCUGAGGUUAACCUAUGGAGAAGGAGCUAUCAAGAUCACACAGAAAACUGAAGAGGAACUGAACCGACUCACCGCAGGUUUUCACAGCAAUAAUCACUUCAGGAAGCUUUGAUGAGAUUUUUCGAAGCAACCUACCAUGAUUGUGCUUCUAACUUCAACUCCAAAUGAACUCACUUCAAGAAACUAUGAGCAAGUGAAUAACAGAAGUUCAAAUUCACAUGACUGCCUGAUAAAAUAAUGUGUGAUUGCCAUGAAUAAAGCAGCCAUUCUGAGCAUUCAUUUUAUGUAAUUUAGAUACACUGUAAAUGUCUUUUUAAAAGUCUCCCUUUUUUUCCUAAAAAUAUAUAAUUGAGAAAUACUUAAAAAUGUAGCUUCAAGUGUGACAUUACAUUUUGCUCCAGUUAUAUUUACUACUUUGCAGAGGUUCUUUCUAAAAUGUGCACCUGCUUUCUGGUAAGCAUUGCAGAAGCACUUAACAUUUGAAAAGUUCUUCCACAUAGAUUUACGUUUACAUUUUUUAAAGGAUAAUUAAAUUUAAAAUAUUGUUAGGAACUAUUUUCCCAUUUUUCAUGGUUAUUCUCUUUAGGCAGUAGAAUCUCAUUUAUCUAUUCCCAAUAAAGGCGAUAUAGCAUUUUUACAUGUAACAGUCCAUUUCAGUUCAUCAAGACUAGAUCUCCUGGUGUACUGGAGGCAUGAUUUAUCAUAAUUGAAACACAGCUAUAAUCUCACCUAUUUCUGUCAGUUAUAACUGAUUUAGAAAAAGCAAUUGGAAAUCAAUGGUUGGGUAUUUGAAAAAAGGACAGGAAUCAUAAGCCAUUGGUGUCUGGUCAGCCUAGAUACACACAGGAAGCAGUAGUAGUGAUGCUGCAUAAUCACACCUGGAAAAAAAGGCCAAGCAUAAGUAUUUACAUAUGUGAUUCAGCAGAGAGAAUCGAAGACAUACUUCUGUGCCCACUGGGAAUAUUUCCAGCCUGACUAGCAUGUCUGCAGUGCUCUGCUCAGGUCCCUCUUGUAGAGGAAGCAGAUAGAUGUAGCACAUUCUUUGCCUGUUUGCUGUUAAAAAUUGCAGAAAUGUAGUAUUUUCACUGCAUUUUGGGUCACACAUUUUUGUACAGGCAUCCACAAAUUUUGCCUUCAUAUGUUAAAAGUCACAGUAGAGAUGUACUAUUCAUCUUUGCCUAUCGUUCCCUCAAUCCUCCUUUAAAAACUGUCCGAGAAGAAAGAGAAAAAUCAAGAGCCUUUGAAUUUUGCUUCAAGAUGACAAUAGAAAUUAUGAGAAGCAUUUGAAUUUCAGUCACUUUGGCAUAAAUCUGGAAAAACUUCAUUGACUAAUGGAAUUACAGUGGAUUUAUAUCAGCGUAAUUGAGUGGAAUCUGGUCCUGUGCAUUGCAAUGUAGGCUGAUCUUUUCUUUCUAAGUAAAAAAUUAAAGCUCACACAAUUACACUAUAACAGUAUACCGAGUAUUUUCCUCUUUCUAAAAAGAAUUAAUGGCAGGUAAACUUGCAUACACUGCAAAUAAAUAACAGUUUAUAAAAGUCUGGUACCAGAAAGUCAUUCAAUGUCUCUUUGGCAAAUAUUUGGAACUGGUUGCUAACACUAAUAUCAAGUGAAAUAUUCCAAGGUACAAUCUGGGUGAAAAUGUUAGGCUGUACUGAACAGAAUUAUUAGACUGUCCAUCAUUAUGUCUUCAGAUGGGUUUAUUACAUUUUGUGUAUGCUUGUUUUGCAGCAUUUAGCUGGAAACUUUCCUUGGGCAGUAUUGAUAAUGGCAUCCACACUGCAAUGGUCUCUUAAUCCUCACAGUGAAUUACAGAAGUAAGAAGCUGACAGAGCAAGAGGAAGAGAAGAAAAAAGACUGGAAGUAUUUCUUGAUAAAGGGAUGCCAAAUGUUAAAACUAUAAUUGUUUGAACUUUAUCUGUUCUGUUCCAGGGACAUAUUAAAUAUUCUGACUGAAUCCUUUGCUAUCCUGCAUCUAUAAAUUAUUGAAUGAACUUUUAAUUAUUAAAUAUUGGCCAAUAUUAACUACUUAAUGCAAAAUAAUAUAUGCAAGUAUGGCGUAUAUACAAGGAAAUUUAAGAAACAUCAGUAUUUUCACUGAGAUUUAUAUUGCACGAAAGUAUUGGUCAAUUAUUAUACACGUGUGUAUAAUUUCAUUAAAAGCUGCUGUGCAUCUUUCCGGAUAAGCACAGAAAGACCUGUUUCUGCUCUGGCUUGGAGUUUUUUCUGAAAAUCUUUUAUUAAACUGUUAAUUAUUUCUAA